UCAUUUGUGACCUUUGGCUUAUCUGAACGAAUUUUCUUCUUCUUCUUCGCGGGCGAUGACGGAACGGCGGUGAACCCAUCUUCCCCGAUUCAACUUUCGUUUGGCCGUCACCGUCAAUCCAAUCGGAGCACCACAUAUAGUCACUCCUUCUUCCAUCGCAAACUCGCGCCGGUGUUAAUGCCCUCAACCUUCUCCGACGAUGAAUCUAUGGCCUCCGUCGUGACCAAGCAUCAGCGCGUAUCAACAUCCUCUUCUCGCCUCGUCCCUCUCGUCAACUCCCUCAUCAAUUUCUCUGUUCGCUUUACCGAUGAAGUUCGAUAUUUCUUUGAAUGCGAGGGAGAUGAAAUUCGAACGCCUUCAAGAAAUUCAAGAGUGAGAUGAACAUACGAGUUUGGAAGAGCAUGAAUUGAUGGCGAUUAUUUGAUGAUUUGCAGAGGAAGAUGAAGAUGGAAAGGAUCAAGAUUUUUGUGGAAAUUGGUUGAAGGGUGAUGAUGAAGUGAAUUAUCGAACAUGGAUGUGAAUUUCCGGUUGUGUCGAUCGGUGAAUUGAGGAAUCGAUGAUAUAAAGAGAGAUUGAAGAUUUUUGUGUAGCUUUUUCUGGAGAAUUCAGAUGAAGAUUUUAGAGGUGGUGAAUUCUGUUUCGUGUGGUUGAGAAGAUUGAAGCGAUUUUUAUUCUGAGAAUGGAAGAAGAUGGAGAAGGUUGAAUCAAGAGAGAGGGAAUUGACGAGCGUGUGAAUCGGUGUUGAAGAUUUUCUUUUUUUGAAUCGAUGAUGAAGAAGAGAGAAAGAUGAAGGUCCGGUUCUUGAAUUAUGCUGAUGGUAUUGUUUCGGUUUUGUUGCGGGUGGAGUUACGGUUUCGAUUACAAACCGGUUCGGUCUCGGUUCUGAUUGUGCAGGGAUGAUUUGGUACAAACGUGAAUGGAAGGGAUUCGGUUCUAAGUCAACGGCUGAUUCAUUUUCUUGUGUGAUUAGUUUUGGUUUUGUAAUGAAGUUAUUGAACUUGUAAAAACAUGAAUUUUGUAUAAGGGCUUAUUGAAAUGUACCGCACAUGCAUACUUGUAAUAACUUUUCCGUUUUUUCAAAUAA